rnacentral:rRNA from 1 species
UACGGAGGAUCCGAGCGUUAUCCGGAUUUAUUGGGUUUAAAGGGUGCGCAGGCGGGAGAUUAAGUCGGCGGUGAAAUUUUGCAGCUCAACUGUAAAAGUGCCUUCGAAACUGGUUUCCUUGAGUGUAGAUGAAGUAGGCGGAAUUUGUGGUGUAGCAGUGAAAUGCAUAGAUAUCACGAGGAACUCCGAUUGCGAAGGCAGCUUACUAAGCUACUACUGACGCUCAGGCACGAAGGCGUGGGGAUCAAACAGGAUUAGAUACCCGU